rnacentral:tRNA from 2 species
ACUCUCUUAGCUCAGUGUGUAGAGCACCUCCCUUACAAGGAGGGGGUCGUUGGUUCGAAUCCAACAGGGAGUACCA